AUCUUUGCGCUUGAGGCAAUGACGCAGUUAGUGAGGUGAAACCGAGACGCGUCAAUUGCUAGUUGAAAAUUAUUUCCAUUUCUGUUUUCUCUCUGUUGAAUGAAACAGUCCAAGUUUACUUCAUGAUGUACUAGCUCUACAGUAUCACAUAUUUGGAAGACGUUAUUCAAAAC
rnacentral:snRNA from 20 species